rnacentral:rRNA from 1 species
CUCAACUAUUAGGCUUCGGGGGAUACCUGCCAGGACUUGGAACCGGGAGAGGUAAGAGGUACUACAGGGGUAGGAGUGAAAUCUUGUAAUCCCUGUGGGACCACCGUGUGGCGAAGGCGUCUUACCAGAACGGGUUCGACGGUGAGGGACGAAAGCUGGGGGCACGAACCGGAUUAGAAUACCCGGGUAGUCCCAGCCGUAAACGAUGCUCGCUAGGUGUCAGGCAUGGCGUGACCGUGGUCUGGUGCCGCAGGGAAGCCGUGAAGCGAGCCACCUGGGAAGUACGGCCGCAAGGCUGAAACUUAAAGGAAUUGGCGGGGGAGCACAACAACGGGUGGAGCCCUGCGGUUUAAUUGGACUCAACGCCGGACAACUCACCGGGGGCGACAGCAAUAUGUAGGCCAAGCUGAAGACUUUGCCUGAAUCGCUGAGAGGUGGUGCAUGG